rnacentral:rRNA from 1 species
UACGGGGGGGGCAAGCGUUGUUCGGAUUUACUGGGCGUAAAGGGCGCGUAGGCGGCAUAUUAAGUCAUCUGUGAAAUCUCCGAGCUUAACUCGGAACUGUCAGCUGAUACUGAUGUGCUAGAGUGCGGAAGGGGCAAUCGGAAUUCUUGGUGUAGCGGUGAAAUGCGUAGAUAUCAAGAGGAACGCCUGAGGUGAAGACGGGUUGCUGGGCCGACACUGACGCUGAGUGCGCGAAAGCCAGGGGAGCAAACGGG